CAGCAGCCGCGGGAAUACGGAGGGUGCAAGCGUUAAUCGGAAUUACUGGGCGUAAAGCGCACGCAGGCGGUCUGACAAGUCAGAUGUGAAAUCCCCGGGCUUAACCUGGGAACUGCAUUUGAAACUGUCAGGCUGGAGUCUUGUAGAGGGGGGUGGAAUUCCAGGUGUAGCGGUGAAAUGCGUAGAGAUCUGGAGGAAUACCGGUGGCGAAGGCGGCCCCCUGGACAAAGACUGACGCUCAGGUGCGAAAGCGUGGGGAGCAAACAGGAUUAGAUACCCCGGUAGUCCCUGUCUUUUAUAC
rnacentral:rRNA from 1 species